UUUAAUUAACCUUCAUAUCUGCUUCGGGUCGAAAGUCUCCCACCUGGUCGUAUGCGGAAAACGUAAUGAGAUUUAAAAAUUUAUUUAAAAUGUUUAAAUCAACUCAUUGGAAAGCUAGCUCUUUCCCACAGUCCUGGGCUGUUUAAUAAACUCCCAGUCGUAUCUUUUCGGUACUGAGGCCCCAGAAAUGGGUUUCAAACCAUAGUUAUGACGAUUGCGGUUUUGCAGAAUUUUAGUAUUCUGGAUAACCGUAACCCAAUGGGGGCUUAA
rnacentral:snRNA from 1 species